GAUGUGACUGAUCCUGAACAUGCAGGCAGAAGCCUCCUGCUCACUCCUAACAUGAUUCUGCUCCGUUACUCAAUGCACUGCAGACACAAAAAACAAGAAUAAGAAGGGUGUGGACAGAAGGUGUAAGCCCCUCCUCAGGGCUGUAACAGAGUGAAAGAGGAGAAGAGAAAAUGAACGAGAGGGAGGAGAGGUGAAAUUCACCGCCAUACGGAGCUGGGAAACAGACUUAUGACAGAGAGUGGACGGGUGUGAGGCAGCGGGCUCUCCUUCUGCAUUCAUCAAGCUCAUCAGUCAUACAUCAGUUACGCAGAGAUGGAAGCAAAGAGAUCUGACAUAUGCUGCUAAUGUGAUUGGUCGAUUCACAAGGAAGAAGAAAGUGAGAGAGGGAAUCUCCAUGGUUUACCUUUACAAGACCAUUGUCAGAAUCAAACUAGUGUGUCCUUAGAGGUCCAUUAGCAGCUACAGAAGCCAAAAACAACCAAAUCUUCAUGAAUUUCAUCUAAGAAUACGCAUCUCACGGAAUUAACAGGUAUUGUUUUAUGAGAAUAUUGAACUGGAGAGAACUGGCUUGCUAUAAAGUCCAAGCUAGAGUUCGAGUAAGAAAAAAAAACAAAAUUGUGCAAACUAUAAUUGUUGUGGAGGGAAAUGGCUUCCUUUUAUAAAAUAGAAUUAUUUAAAAUAAUGAUUUUGUCACUGUAAGUAUUAAAAGAUAUCAUGAAGUGUAGAGAGAAAGACUAUAAGUGCAAGCAGAUUUUGGCGACUUUGUCUUGGAUCGCUAUCAGAAUAUGAGCUGCUUUGAAGAACUGAACCCAAUAGUCUGUUAGACUGAGAAUGGCGUCUGCAGUCGCUUGCGUGUUACGCAAAGUCAUCUACGCUUUAAUGAUAAUUAAUUUCUGCUGUUGAUCUGAAAUUUUCUGCCAUAGUUUAAUCUGGACAGAAACCCUAGAAAGAACACAGAUGAAGAUCUUGAAUUAAUGUGUUUCAGGGCUGAAUACCAUUCACUUUGCACAAAGCAAAAAAAUAGCAAAUAUCUGCCAAAGGCAAGCAUGUGGAAAGCAGAAACCCGUAAAGAGUACAACAAUUUGUUUACACAGCCCAUCAUUGUAAUACUAUCCAGAUAUCAAUGUGUAAAUAAAACACACUCCUAAUAUGGUUACUUCAUGCUAAUCUGAUUUUUUUUAAAAAUAGAGCAGGUGUUCUUCAUGAUCCUGGAGUAAACUGAACCCACAAAAGUGACUGUCUACGCUACUUAUAGAAACUGCAUAUAUGAAUCUUCAUUAAGACAUAAGAGUUGGGAGGUAUAAAUGGCCAAUCAGAGAUGUUUUCUCAAGUUCAUACCCGCUCUAAACUAGAAAGUGCAGGUUGAUUUUUUUAGAUAGCUACAGCUUUUGGAUAUUAUUUUACUACUAGCUAGGAAGCUGUUUUAUCUUAUUUCAGUUUUUCAUAACAUAGGUUUUUUUUUAAAUGAAAUUAAUAAUUUCAUGAAAACAACAGUCAUACUUGGCUAUGCUAAAUUGGUGUGAACAAGUGUAUAAUUGUGUGUGUGUGUGUGUGUGAUGCGCUGCAAUGGACUGGCAUCCCACCUCACGCCCAGUGUUCCUGGGAUAGGCUUCAGAUUCACCGCAGCCCAGACCUGGUUACUGGAAGUGAGUUAAUAAUCAUACUCAGUGAGAUGGGUGAAAUGUAAAAACAAGUUUCUAGCAAUGAUACAGCUAGCCAGUGUCUCAGUCUAAGUUUCAGAUUUGUUUUAGCAGUAGCGUCUUUAUCUACUGCUAAUAUACCAAACAUUCAAUCUUCACUUCAAUCAAGCAUUAAACUAUAGGUAACUAACAGUGGUCUUAUAGUGGCUUCUGUACUAUUCACUAAUUCAUAAGUUAGACAUGUUGAGAUUCCACAAAUGAACACAUACAUUUUGUGUUUCAUUUCUAAAUAUAUUCUAAACGCAUUUCUUAACUGUAAAACUACUAGUAUAGUAUAUAUUUAUUUUCAUAUCAUUUCAAUCUUAUUCCACUUGAUGUAGCUACAAUGAAAACUGGAUUUAAUUUUCUAUCAUCGGUGAAGCAAUUUAUAUCCAGACACUGCUGUGCGAACCAAUCGUGACGCCACCUCUAACUCUGCAAUAUCACAACCAAUAGGAGAGACAAAACACUAAAUUACGAGCCGUCAACAUGGCAUCCGCUGGUAAGAAGCAAGCAGUUUUGGAAUGGAGUCUUAGUUACAGCCGUAUAAAUCACACAACUCAUGAAUGGCCACUAAUUGUGUGGGUAGAAUUAUUUUCAAAAUGCCUCAAAUGUGAUAAAGUUUCUGAAAUUUUCUGAAUUUCAAAUGCAUGUGUGCAAAUAUUUUUAACGCUUCCCAAAUUAGAGCCAGACAGUUGAGGCAAAUCUGGAAAAUGUGUAUAUAUUUUAUGUGUAAUUCAAAAUAUAACUGACAAAAGUAAGUCCUUUCAUGAAACAAGUGAAAAGGCAAUCUGGAACUAGUUUACAAACGAUGCCAUACUAUAUGUCCACACACAUCUUCUAUUUCAAGAGAACUAAGACUACCAGAUAAACUAAACAUCGACGCUGACUGUCAUCUAUGAUAGUCAAUGACAUCCUGCAAAGAUAAACACUGUUGGCGCAAGUGAAGUUCUAAGAGGUAACAUUUUCAGUGCUCAAAUACUCAAUUCAAACACCUUCCAAACUUAUAGGGUCCAUAAUAACGCAUUGGGACACACUGCUACCUGAAAGAUGCUUAGUUUGUAAUUUGAUGAUUGAGACAGAAGACUUAAAAGGUAAGUCUGUGUAAUCUGGUUCAUGAUCCCUCUUUUAUACUUCUGAAGGAUUUACAGAGUAAUACAUAGAACUGGCUGUGAUAUACAUGACAAAUAAAGCAAGACACACUGCUACAACACUUGAAUAAGGCAUGAAUCACCACACUUUACCAUACCCAGGGAAAUCCCUAUUGAUCCCUAUUUUUCCUAGAGGCCAUGACAUUGGUGUCUAGAGCAUGAUUCCAGGAUGUGUUACAAUACUGUAUUCAUCUACCCUCAUCAACAUGAAGGGUGCCAUUUCUCUUGGGGUAAUCCUUAUCGUUGUCUUAAUCAGUCCGUACAGGAUUUCACAAAGUUUUUUUUUUGUGAUUGCUGCGGCCAAAAAUGCUUGAAUGUGCUGUGGCAUUUUGUGAGCUUUUUUGUGCAUUUUUUUGUUGCUGAAAACUACCUGAAUUGGUAAAAUUGCAAUAGCACAAAAUUGUUUUGCACGGUCUUUCGCAGUGAUGUUUGUUGGUAAAUGAGACCUUUUAGCUGUACUCAAGUUCGACGCAGAGGAAUCGAAGAGGGCUUUGGCUGAGAUUUGUGAUGAUGUCACAUGAUGCAUCUUGGCCCAAAUCUGCAGAAAAUCAGCAUAAAUUUUGAAAAAUUUCAAGCUCCUCCGAAUAUUGCGCAGUUUGCUUGACGUUGUGUCAACUUCUGAGAAUGCAAAAGCGCAAAAUCCUGGGGGGACCGCUUAAUGAUCGUUUCAAUGCUAGAGAACAAAGAUUGCUAGAUCCACCCUUGGGGUCACAGGGGGAUGAAAGCAUGAGGCAUUAAAAAAAGGUUAGAUAAAUAUUUUGAGUGAAGCUGAUUAUAAAUAUAAACGAGAACAGACACUUAAUACUAAGGCAGUAUUAAGACGCUUAAUACCCCACCCCCGCAAUUUUCUCCUUAAGUUGGUCUUGGCCAAUUCCCACCCACCAGCCCAAUUCCCACCCUCCCCUAUCAUAUGACAGCUACCAGCUGGGGAGGAUUAAAUGCUACUUCCUUCAAGAAAUAAGACAUCAUUUCAAACUGCUGCUCAUGCUGCUUCAUGGGGCAGUGUAAUAUACGCGCAGAAAAUAGCUUUCUUUUUUUGUACCCAGAGAGUAUGGCCAAUUUUGCUCUCUGUUGCAUCGUUAGGAUUUGACCUUGCAAUCUCCGAAUGAUAGGGAGAAUCUGUUGUAUUUGUUUUUUGCUAUGUUCAAAUUGGGAUUUAUCUAGCCAACUAUUUAUUCUAUGAAUGUCAGCUAACUUUGUUGUCCUAGCUAGUUAGCAUUCUAGCUAGUUAGUUAACCGACACCAUUCUGUAACAUUACUUGGUUGAAAGGGAUCUAAAUGCAUGAAUCUCCAACACAAUUGAUUCGAGUACAUGCCCAGUGCCAAGGACAAGUGCAUUCAAAGCACAUACUCCUCUCCCUGCUACACCCUCCUUGCCUCAUGCUGCUUGUGGCCACUGAUGAUGCACUUUUCCAAGUCAGGAGAAGAAGCUGACAAGAGAGUGCUAAAACAUUGUAACACAAGGCUGAUCAACAUAUACUACCCUGUAAUAAUUCUAUUAUUAAGCUGCUUGGUGAUUAAAGAAUACUUGAGGUAACUGGUUCCUCAGACAACUGAUAGCAUCAAUCAUACAGCACAAGGUACACAGAUGUUUUUGUUCUGGUCCGAGUCUUGCUGAAGUCUGACACCUGCUCCACAUGUGUCUCAUUAACACAUUCCUCCAAGCUGAGAUUCUCUGUUUAUUCUGUUUCAUAUAUGAACACAUGACAUGGGGAUGCUAUUCAUCUUCCCUUCAUUACGAUGCUGCAUUUACUUAACCUCACUGGUCUUUGGCUAUAUGUUAUGGUUUAGAUGUGACGUGAGCUAUGCUGGAGUUCUAAAAGAGGUGAGUAGUCCAUGGGUUUGCAGGUUGGAUAUAAAAGAAACACAAUUUAUUACAUACGAGUCUUUAAUUAAAUUAAUAACAUACUGGGUUUGUGUACAUAUACGUGUAUUUAUAUAAAGAAACAGGCAAAAAUAGGUCAACUGUUACAUCUCACAUUCAAACUAUAAUUUUGAGUUGGUGGUAAUGAUUUUCUGAUUAAAAAAAAUAUUGACUUGACAAUGUCAUUGACUUUUUAAAUGUGAUUCAUGUGUUCUUACUAAUGUUUAAGUUAGUUGAUGGACUACAGUGAAGACUAAAUGACUUUUUUUUUUUCAUGCACUGAUGCAGGUUUGGAUAUAUGUGAAGAACUGUCUCAGACAUAGACAUGCUGGUAUUUCCUCUCCAUCUGUGCACCAGCAGUAGUCACUUCACACACAGUUCAAGUAGAAACAGGCCAGGCAGGUAAUUGUGGCGCAGAACAGAUAAUGGGAAGAAGCCGGUACAAUAAUUCCUUCCUCACAACUAAGGAUGCUACUAUUAGAAUUUUGAACCUUAGCAAAGCUCUCAGAUCUGAGAUCUAGACAAGAAAAGACAACAAUGUCUCCAAAACUUGUUUUUAGAUCAAUAGGUAUCAGUAGUUUUUUUUUUUUUUUUUUUUUAUACCACAGGCCUUUUGAAUUCUCAAUCCUGAUUGGUCAGAAGGGGAUGAUUAAUUUUCUAGUACUGCCAGCUGCAAGGCAAAUUGCAAGCUUAUAUUAAUGUAUUUGUUCUAAUACAUUACACGGGACUUGUGUGUCAGAUACAUAAACAUUUUUUUAAAAAGUGAAAUCACUGAUGUGGUGAAGCUUUCUGUAAGGGCAUGUUUAUCUCACAUAGUCUCCAGUAUCAAGCUUCUCCCAAAAGUUUUCCACCAAGAGAAAGUCUUGUUUUGUUUUUGUUUUGGUUUUCCUGUAAAAUUAUAUGCUCUUUUUUUUGUCUUAUUAACUUCAAGCAAAGUAAAAAGAGAGGCUGGUAAGGGAAUGACUGUUAACAGCUGCUAUAGUGUAAGUGAUAAGAGGAAUUAACUUGCGACAUUAAACUUGACUAUAAUAAAUAAAACAAUCAUUAGAUAUGUUGUAUAAGAGGAAUAAAACGCUGUCAGAGAUGCUUUUAUAGUUAAAGAAUCUACUUUUGGGUAGUAAUACUAACGCUUGUGUUUUAUUCCUUACAUAGUUGAUCAAUAAGUGGAAGCAUAUAGACCCAAUGGCAAAAUGUUUGGUUGUUUGAACACACAGGAUAAACCAGGCAAAGCCUAUUCUAAAUAUUUCCAGAUUACAGUCUCUUUCUACUUGUAUUCUAACACAAUGAGAAGGAAAAUUUACUUUCAUGUCUGUUACUGGUCCAACUGAUCAAUUGUGUUUCACAGCUCAUCGGAAAUUAACAUUUGGAGUUGUAGGUUCUGGGGUGAAUUUAAGAAUGUAAUCUGUAUUAUUUUCUUUUGUACUUUAUUUUGCAAAUGCAUUGAGAUUAUUUAAGUAAACGUAGAGUGUGAUUUGUGUUGUGCUAUAACACUCUUGGUUGUUUAAGUGAAUUUCUUACAUCAAUAUGUAGAGAAUUAGUACAAUUUAAUCUUCAUAUGACUUACAAAGAAAUAAAGAUUGGUGAGUAACUUUGUGAUUUUUCACAACAUACUUUUUUUUCACAAGAAAUAUGUUUUAUGUUGUCAAGUAUAAUUUGUAGUCUUUUGACCUAAUGAUAAACUACUGUGUGCCACAAUAGUAAUGCCAGUAAAUUUAAAGGUCUGAAGCUGAAAGACUAUAAUCAUGUGCUUAUUGCAGACUGUUUGCCAUACAAGGAAAAAUGGAAAACAAAAGCUACAAUCUGUCCUGUGCUGACAUGACACAUCUAUAUGCUUGGGAUGAAGCUCAACACAACAUACUGCAGAUUUUCAGCCAUUGCAUGAUGUUUGGAAACAUGUAUUAGUAUUUGUAGUUUUAUACCUUUACUUCAUUUUUAAAAAAAAUUUUAUAAAAAAAAAAAAAAACUAUGCUUUGUAAGUUUUAUGUUUUUCUGUAGGUUUUAUUGGGAUAAGACUACAGUGUUUGGCUCGAGCCAUGUUUUUCUAUUUUAUUUUAUUUUUAUCUGACUUACAAAACAGACAUCAAUCAACUUCUGAAUGAUCUGCGUCCAAGGUAAGUCUUAAGUAUGUUAAAAGGGCAAUCGCUCUCGAAAUUAAAUCCUAACAAGGCCAUUAAAAGUGAAUUUUUUUUUUUUUUUAAAUAUAAAUGACUACAUAUAAUGAGCCAUAUAAUGAGUCUAUGAACUGCACUUGUAUAAACAUGCUACUGAUUUAGGAAAACAGUUCCACUAAUAAUUCCCCUCACCGAAAAGUAAAGACUAUUGCUCUGAACUCUGAAAAUUAUUGCAAUAAAGUUGACGUUUUCUCCUCUCCAUGAUGGGCCAUAAACCUCUAAUAAACAUGACCCAUUUUAAAGUAUAUGACUGAAUUCUGGAUUUAUUUUCGUAAUGAGGUAAUUAUGGAGUUCUGGUCAAAUUGGCUUUUUUUCUGUCUAUAAUAUACUUUGACACCUCAACUUUAAGGAGCCAUAAAUAUAUUUCACCAAAAGAACGUUCAAUUUGAAUCUUCUUUCAAACCCACACUGAAUAAGGAGCUUAAAGAUGUUUAAAACCUUGCUAGAUAAGGUGAGUUCCACACACAGUGAAUGUCACACUUUGAUCAGGUUGGUGGAUAGAUACAUGCCAUAGUGACAUUUACAUUUACAGUAUUUGGCAGACACCCUUAUCCACAGUGACUUACAUUUAUCCCAUUUAUGCACCAAGCCUUGCUCAAGUGCCCAGCUGUGGCAGCGCUAGGGUUUGAACUCAUGACCUUCCUAUCAGUAGUUCAACAUCUUAACCACUUGAGGCACUUGAUAGAUAUGGAAGCCUAAUUCAUAUUCAGUUUGUAAUCAGAUGCCAACUCUAUAACUAUGUGGUUGAGACACAUAUUUCAGUUCAAGAAAACUUGUAGUUUUCACAACCAUAUAUAGUAGAAGAUGGUCAAAAAAUUUGCCCAUUUGAAGUGUUUUCCCAGACCACCACACAUCACAAAGAUCUGAAUGAAUUACUUUCACUGCUUUGAUUUAACAUGAGGUGUGAUACAAUUCACUGUAUCAAACAGAUUAUUUUGAAGACUUUUCUAAUCUUUAUAAUUGCUUUCUCUGAUAAACAAAUCCAAUAAAUUUUAUUUACAUUUAAUCUAGUCUGGUGUUUUGACAAACCAAAGACUUCUAUUAUCUUCCAUCACUACAGGACUACAGAACUAACACACAUCCAACAUAUGUGAGGACAACAUUUAAAGAAUGGACAUACAUGUAUCACAUGUAUGUGAUUAUUUAUAUGCUCAUAAUAUCUAU